GAUGAACGCUGACAGAAUGCUUAACACAUGCAAGUCAACUGUGGCGGACGGGUGAGUAACGCGUAAAGAACUUGCCUCACAGAUAGGGACAACAUUUGGAAACGAAUGCUAAUACCUGAUACUGUGAGAGAGCUUUGCGUCCCAUUAGCUCGUUGGAGAGGUAACGGCUCACCAAGGCGAUGAUGGGUAGCCGGCCUGAGAGGGUGAUCGGCCAAGAGGGGACUGUGACACUGUCAUUACUCCUACGGGGUGCAGCUGUGGGGAAUAUUGGACAAUGUCCCAAAGUCUGAUCCAGCAAUUCUGUGUGCACGAUGAAGUUUUCGGAAUGUAAAGUGCUUUCAGUUGGGAAGCAGUACCAACAGAAGAAGUGACGGCUAACUACGUGCCAGCAGCCGCGGUAAUUG
rnacentral:rRNA from 1 species